UUUUUCAUUAUUAUUUUUCCUGUGCGCGGUAAAUAUUGAACGCACGUGCGGGUAAAUAUUAAAUGCGGUUUCUUUUUUCUGACAUUUGCGGUGAGUUGCAGCUUGCGGAUUGAUAUUGAUGCGUGUAGGGGCAGCGUUUGUGUGGGAGAGGCACCGCUGUCGGAAAGCGUUCGAUGGCGUGUGAAAACUCGUGGCAUCAUGGCGACGGAGAGGGAGGGGUGAAAACCGUGGUAAAUGUGGGAACGGUUGUUGAGGUGGAGUGAAAGUAGUGUGGUGAAGUAUCCAGUGGUGGUAAGGAAUGUACGAUAGAGUUUGUAGUGGAGCUGGGAGGGGCGAGCAUAAGGGAUGAAGGGAUAAGAAACAUGUCAUAUGCGAUCAUACCAGCUCUAAAGUAUCGGAUCCCAUCAGAACUCCGAAGUUAAGCGUGCUUGGGCGAGAGUAGUACUAGGAUAGGUGACCCCCUGGAAGUCCUCUUGUUGCAUUGC
rnacentral:rRNA from 1 species